UACGUAGGGUGCAAGCGUUGUCCGGAAUUAUUGGGCGUAAAGAGCUCGUAGGCGGUCUGUUGCGUCGGCUGUGAAAACCCGGGGCUCAACCCCGGGCCUGCAGCCGAUACGGGCAGACUAGAGUUCGGCAGGGGAGACUGGAAUUCCUGGUGUAGCGGUGAAAUGCGCAGAUAUCAGGAGGAACACCGGUGGCGAAGGCGGCACUCUGGGCCGGUACUGACGCUGAGGAGCGAAAGCGUGGGGAGCAAACAGG
rnacentral:rRNA from 1 species